rnacentral:misc_RNA from 1 species
CCACCUGCACCUUCUCUCCACUUCCCGCCCCCCCCGCGUACGACACACACACACACACGCUCACAGGUCUGCUGCCCUGGUGGAAGCGAGGGCAGCCUCUUAUCUUUCUUCAUUGGCUCUUUCCAUUGCCGCAUCGAGGGCGAAUUCGCGCAAGGGAGCCAAGGGGGUGCCGCGAUCCCGGUGGGGCACAGGGCUGCUUCUGCGUGUGGUUUGUGGGGUCAGAAGGCAGUCGGAAGCUGUUCGCCCAGGGGGCCCACAUGUCGCUCCCGGCGUCCGACACGACCACCUCCGCCACCGCCUCUCCGGAGGUGCUCCUCGCUGCCUGCAAAGCUGAAGCCCAACAGCUGCGCGAUGCCCUGCGUGAGGGCACUCUCCGCGAAACGGGGGGGUGCAGCGGCAGCGGCAGCGGCAGCGGGGGCGGCACCGGUGCUGUGGCGGGGGGAGCGCUCAGGGACGUUUGGGAAGGCAAGUACCUAGUCAUGAUCAGAAAGAACAGGGACCUCACAGUGCAGCUUGGCACCACACAGCAGCAGCUCGCUGCGGCGCAGAAGGCGCUGCAGGCGGCGCAAGAGAAGACGCAGCGGCUGGUCGCCGCCGUGACUGUCUCCUCACUUGGCGCUCGAGGCGCAAAGGCGGGCUCUAAGUCGGCGGCAGGAGCGGCCGGCCUGGACGACGGCUGCAACAGCAGCAGUGGCAGCAAGAGCGGUGGGGGAGGUAGUGGUGGUGAGGGGACCGCAGCAGCCUCGUCCGCUGCGGUCGCGCGCGUGUACGAUAAGCUGCAUCAGAAGCAGCUCGCCAUGGCCGAGGUGCAGCGGGAGAACGUUGCUCUGCGCUCCCUCAUUCAACGCGAAGUCGGACUUCGUGAUGACACGAAGGAAGUGGACCGCCUUCUACGCCGUGCGACUGCCGUCUCGAGCAGCGGUGGGUCAGCGGCAGCUGUUGCCGGUGGAAAGUCAGCCUCUGGCGCGGACGGGGGCGGCUGGCGUGGUCGCGCAGAAGAGAUUGUUCUCCUGAAAAGCAAGCUGAAGGACGCGCAACGGGAGGUGGAGGAGAUGGUCGCGGCUCAGAGCAGCAGCGAGAACGGCGCGGAUGCGUGCAUGGACCCGCUUUCGCUGCCCGCCUCCGUCCGCACAUUCCUAAGCGCGAGUGGCGACCCCGCAGCUGAGGCUCGAUCCGUUGUGACUACCACCACUGCCCAGGUGCGUCGGCCACGCCGCGAUGUCGACGAUGACGCGCGCGAUCGACUGAGCGCCAUGCAGCAAGAGCGGGCAGCGCGGCAGCGCCAGCUUGCCGCCGACCUCUCUGAGCUACAACAACAACUGAACGAAGAGCGAAUGAGAUCAUCGGCCCUGCAGGCGCGGACGAAGACGAUGAAGUCAGAGCUUGACACGUUGCGCAGCUACGUGGACACGAUUCUCGAGAAGAGCAGCACCGACGAUGAACUCGUAGAGGCGUACAAGACCGAGUUGCAGCGUGCUCACGAAGAGGCGCGUCACUGGCGACGGGUAGCAGCGGACGCUCUGAAAGAAGCCGGCGGUGGCGAGACGAGUGCCGCCUUCACCGUCAGUGGUGUGCAUAAUGGGCUCAACAGCGCAGCAGCAGCAGCGGUGCGUACGGCACCCUAUCGAAAUGUCGCCGCCGAUGGUGGUGAUGCUGGAAACGUACGCAGAGCGCCACUGCCGUUGUCGCCACCCCAGCCUCUGAAGUCCUUCUCUAGGUCUCUGUACGAGUGGGUGUGCCAGGCUUGUGACGAGGUGCCGGAGGACAAGGAGCAGGAGCGCACUGAGCCAGCGGUAGCAGCCUCAGCGAAGCAGCUGGCAGCAGUUAUGCGUCAGGCCUUCCAACAUCUCGUUCUGGUCGAGCGGCACGCUGUAGCAGGAAACGACAUGGAGCAUGCUAGCACAGACGGCGCUAGCGCCGAGAGCGUCUUACUCAAGGAGAACGCCGCAUUGAAGAAGCGCAUCCGUGCACUGUCGGCGCUGAUGGAGAAGGAGCUGCAGGCGCAGCGUGUGUUGUGGGCGACCGCCGACGCAGGCGCAGGCGCGACAUCAUCGACGGAAACCGAAGAGAGGAAGCGCCAACAAUGAGAGAGGAGGAAAGCAUCUCCUCCCUCCUUCCUCCUCCUCCCCGCCCUCUCCUGCACGCUCUGGCAGCAAGUGCCUGUGCGUCGUCGGUUGUUCUUGUUCUCUUUUUCAUCUUCGUGUGUUGCUGGCUGCCGCAACGGCCACGGCCUGACGUCGGCGCGUGUGUGUGGUGCGUUAUGUAUCGCUGCCCUUUGUGCAUGUGCGUGUCUGUGACUUUGUGUGAUCGUCUCACGCCUUUCUUUUCUGUGUCGGACUGCUUCUCUCCCUCUCCCUCUGUGUGUUUGUGUGUGCGUGCGUAUUUUGGCCCUCCCCCGGUGGCGGCGGUGGAGCCUUGCAUGCGCCCCCACCCUCCGCCUCCGCCGACUGCACGCUGAGCGUGCCGUUCGCCGUGGCGGUUGUGUGAUGCGGACAAUCGCAAAGGAAAG